GACAGAGGGUGCAAACGUUGCUCGGAAUCACUGGGCGUAAAGGGCGUGUAGGCGGGAAGGAAAGUCAGAUGUGAAAUCCCUGGGCUCAGCCCAGGAACUGCAUUUGAAACUCCCUUUCUUGAGUGUCGGAGAGGAAAGCGGAAUUCCUGGUGUAGAGGUGAAAUUCGUAGAUAUCAGGAGGAACACCGGUGGCGAAGGCGGCGUUCUGGACUGUAACUGACACUGAUGAACGAAAGCCAGGGGAGCAAACGGG
rnacentral:rRNA from 1 species